rnacentral:misc_RNA from 1 species
UUUCCGUAGGUGAACCUGCGGAAGGAUCAUUACCUUUUCGAUGCACGAGGAUUGAGCGGGUAUAGGCAACUAUCCCCUCUCCUUGCUGUAUUAUGCCCUUGUUUUUUGAAUUCUAUCUGUUUCCUCGGCAGGAAUUCCUGCCGGUUGGAUAAAACUACAACCUUUUGAAUUUUCAAUCAGCGUCUGAACAAGUUAAUAAUUACAACUUUCAACAACGGAUCUCUUGGUUCUGGCAUCGAUGAAGAACGCAGC